AAGAGUGUGAGAAAAAAAAGAAAAAUAAAAAGGAAUAAUUGUGUUCCUUUUCUUUCUUCCACCUCUUUUUUUCAACAUCUCUCAACUUUCUUUGUCUUCUACCCGAUUUCAUUCGAAAAUAAAUAAAAAAAUGAAGGAGGGGUGUGGUGCGAACACACAACAAAAAAAGGAAUCACACAUCCAUCGCAUUCCACCGUCACAAUGAAUGGUCUUCUUCUCUCUCUUCUU
rnacentral:ribozyme from 1 species